CAGUCGCCGCGGUAAAACGGAGGGUGCAAGCGUUAAUCGGAAUUACUGGGCGUAAAGCGCACGCAGGCGGUUUGUUAAGUCAGAUGUGAAAUCCCCGAGCUUAACUUGGGAACUGCAUUUGAAACUGGCAAGCUAGAGUCUUGUAGAGGGGGGUAGAAUUCCAGGUGUAGCGGUGAAAUGCGUAGAGAUCUGGAGGAAUACCGGUGGCGAAGGCGGCCCCCUGGACAAAGACUGACGCUCAGGUGCGAAAGCGUGGGGAGCAAACAGGAUUAGAUACCCCGGUAGUCCCUGUCUCUUAUAC
rnacentral:rRNA from 1 species